CCUACGGGAGGCAGCAGUGGGGAAUUUUGGACAAUGGGCGCAAGCCUGAUCCAGCAAUGCCGCGUGAGUGAAGAAGGCCUUCGGGUUGUAAAGCUCUUUUGUCAGGGAAGAAACGGUCUGUUCUAAUACAGCGGGCUAAUGACGGUACCUGAAGAAUAAGCACCGGCUAACUACGUGCCAGCAGCCGCGGUAAUACGUAGGGUGCAAGCGUUAAUCGGAAUUACUGGGCGUAAAGCGUGCGCAGGCGGUUUUGUAAGUUUGUCGUGAAAUCCCCGGGCUCAACCUGGGAAUGGCGAUGAAGACUGCAAGGCUAGAGUUUGGCAGAGGGGGGUAGAAUUCCACGUGUAGCAGUGAAAUGCGUAGAUAUGUGGAGGAACACCGAUGGCGAAGGCAGCCCCCUGGGUCAAAACUGACGCUCAUGCACGAAAGCGUGGGGAGCAAACAGGAUUAGAUACCCUGGUAGUCCACGCCCUAAACGAUGUCUACUAGUUGUCGGGUCUUAAUUGACUUGGUAACGCAGCUAACGCGUGAAGUAGACCGCCUGGGGAGUACGGUCGCAAGAUUAAAACUUAAAGGAAUUGAACGG
rnacentral:rRNA from 1 species